UCAGGGAGCCCUUUCAUGCGCCCGGGCCGGGGAGAAUCUGGAGGAACGAGCUGCCUUGCGGGGACUUCUGAGCGGCGCUUCCUGACCGCCCUUGCGCUACUUUUAUUUAUUUUUUUCUUCUCCGAGGAAGGUUGUGCCUGGGGGCUGGGAACAGGCUCCGGGAGGCGCCGACGAGGGAGGCUCCCGAGACCCAGGUCCUUCCCUGUGGGGUCGGACACCGCUUAGACUAUGACACCCGGCUGUCACUGCAUUCCGAAGAGGACUUCGGAAUGGGCUUCAUAGCACAGGCUGGACCUCAGGGAGCCUUCUGCGUGCUGAGGAACAGAGAGUGAGGUCACAGCCAGGACAACGUCAGAGGAUGGCCCUGUGGCUUGGGCUUCAAGGAAGAGGAAGAGGCCUCCAGGAGGGCUGGACAAACCAAAGAGAGGUCUGUGUGCAGUCUCCUGCUUCUCCCUGCCCAGCCAGUGCUAGGCAGUAAUUCCCAGCAGCAGCCACCCCGCCCCUCUGUUUCUUUUUUCUCCAAGCAAAAGAGUCACAGCUUCCCCCUUACUACCCACAGCCCCAAACUGCUAGUUGUCCCCACAAUCCAGGGAGCUGUGGCAUGCUCUCUCUGGAAAAAUACAAUAAAAAGAAGUCAGAACUAACACAGGGCAUGGUUUUUGUAGGAUUUUAAGUGAGGGCAGGUUGGCUGUGAAUGGUUCAUUAAAAAGACCCGGGGAGUGGGUGAGUCAGUCUGCUCAGAGCUGUGACUUCCUCUUCUAUAGGGAGAAUAAUAAUUUUCACCUCCUGCUCUGUGAGAAUUAAUUUAUGACUUCAGAGUUAUCUGAGACACUUGAAAGGGAAGCGUGAGACCUAGCACAUGGGAGUGUAGGAUUUGCCAGCUCAGAGCUGGUUAACCAGGACUAGCAAAAAACACAAUCGGAAAGAAGAAAUGACUUUCACCGACGUUGCAUGUUCUCACUCAUUUGUGGAAGCUUAAAAAAGAAAAAGUUGAUUUCAUAAAUGUAGAGAGCAGCUGAGCACUCUGGGGAAAACGAGGCAGGAGGGUCGCCAAGUUUGAGACCAACCUGGGCAACUUACUGACUUAGUGAGAUUCUGUUU